UUUUGCUGCUGAUAUCGUUCCUAAUGAGGACGAGGAAGUGGGCGGGGCCAACCAUAUAUGGAGAAUGUGUGUGUGGAGAAGCGCGCGCAGUACCGCUCAGAAAUGUUUGGGGGCGCAGCUGAGCACUCCCUUCACACUCACACAUUCAUGGAUAAACGUGUGUUAUGGGCCAACGCUGAAACUCCACCCAGCACCUUCGCAACAGCUCAUCUAGUCAUUUAUUUGGCUUUCCCUUAUGGGGGCCUGACUUUUGGUCCCCACAACGCAAGAGGUCCCCAUGACCUGACUGUGUAAACAGACUCAUGUCCCCACAAUGUGAUGAAUACCAGAACACACACACACACACAGUCAUGCUGCACUCACACAUGAAAAAGAAAUCCAAAUAUGGUCAUGUCAAGGUUAUGCAAGCUCGUCACACAUUCACUUUCGUUUUGGAAAGUUUCAAGGCGUUGGCGAUUAAAUGGCGCACAAUCCAGGUGUUAGUAGUUAAUGUUGGCCAGUAGCCUAUUGAGGCAACUGCAAUGAAGCAUCAAGAAAGACAUGAGCAGGCCAUCCACCCUGAGACUGAUAAUUCAUGGGAACACAUUUCUGUCACUAACAAAGUGAAUAGCGAGCAAAGGUGGUGGCCAUGUUUUGGAGCAGCAUCUGGGUUUUGCAGAUGACUAUGUAUUCUUUGGCUGCUUAUCUUUUUCCCCCAUUAUGUUUCUGUUGCCUAAAGAUUCUUUGUGUGGAUAAAUCCAGAGAAUACAACAUAAUGCACUGCAAAAGGUCCUAAAACAGUAGAAAUGGUGAAGAUUAACUGUUCCAGCGUUGGAAGACUAUUUUUAAGUGUUAUACAUGCUAUGUUUUAAA